rnacentral:rRNA from 1 species
GACGAACGCUGGCGGCGUGCUUAACACAUGCAAGUCGAGCGGUAAGGCCCUUUCGGGGGUACACGAGCGGCGAACGGGUGAGUAACACGUGGGUGACCUGCCCUCAGCUCUGGAAUAAGCCUGGGAAACCGGGUCUAAUACCGGAUAUGACUCCAUGACGCAUGUUGUGGGGUGGAAAGCCUUGUGCGGCUGAGGAUGGGCCCGCGGCCUAUCAGCUUGUUGGUGGGGUGAUGGCCUACCAAGGCGACGACGGGUAGCCGGCCUGAGAGGGCGACCGGCCACACUGGGACUGAGACACGGCCCAGACUCCUACGGGAGGCAGCAGUGGGGAAUCUUGCGCAAUGGGCGAAAGCCUGACGCAGCGACGCCGCGUGAGGGAUGACGGCCU